GUAGGGAAUAUUGCACAAUGGAGGAAACUCUGAUGCAGCGACGCCGCGUGAGUGAUGAAGGCCUUCGGGUCGUAAAACUCUGUGAUAAGGGAAGAUAAUGACGGUACCUUAUCAGAAAAGACCGGCUAACUUCGUGCCAGCAGCCGCGGUAAUACGAGGGGUCUAAGCGUUGUUCGGAAUCACUGGGCGUAAAGCGGGUGUAGGUGGCUAUGCAAGUUGGAUGUGAAAUCCCCGGGCUCAACCCGGGAAGUGCAUCCAAAACUACGUAGCUUGAGUGCGGGAGAGAAAGGCAGAAUUCCUGGUGUAGUGGUGAAAUACGUAGAUAUCAGGAGGAACUCCGGUGGCGAAGGCGGCCUUUUGGCCCAGCACUGACACUCAGACCCGAAAGCGUGGGUAGCAAACAGGAUUAGAAACCCUGGUAGUCC
rnacentral:rRNA from 1 species